UACGUAGGGGGCUAGCGUUGUCCGGAUUUAUUGGGCGUAAAGAGCGUGUAGGCGGCCAGGUAGGUCUGCUGUGAAAACUCGAGGCUCAACCUCGAGACGUCGGCGGAAACCAUCUGGCUAGAGUCCGGAAGAGGAGAGUGGAAUUCCUGGUGUAGCGGUGAAAUGCGCAGAUAUCAGGAAGAACACCCGUGGCGAAGGCGGCUCUCUGGGCCGAUACUGACGCUGAGGAGCGAAAGCAUGGGUAGCGAACAGG
rnacentral:rRNA from 1 species